ACCAUAAUCAUGCCUUAAUAAACAUUAUAUUGGUCCAGUUAAACAUAGAUUGCUACCAACCUAUACAAAUAUUAAGCUGAGAUGUGUUUAUUAUUUCCAAAUAGGCCAUGGAAUUUCUGAAGUCAUACAAGGAGGACCUGUGCAAGUGGUUAUCGACGAUGGAUGCUGAGUUUAUCAUUGACAAGUGUGACAAUCUCCUAACAGCUAAACAGGAUAAGGCUAUUCGCAAUCAAAAAACGGAUCCAGGGAAGAUCAGUCUUCUUUUGGAGACAUUCAUUGAAAUGGAAGAAAGUACAUGUCAGAACUUCCUUAAGCUUCUGAAGAAAGAGCAGACACAUUAUCCAGGCCUUCAACAACAUUUCAGCAAGAGCACACAAGCUUCAUCCAGCCCAAAGGUGUAUGCGGAUUGCAACAGCACUGUUGAUACCAGGAAAGUCACCAAUGUCCGCGGUAUUAAAGACUUAGACAUGCAUGUAACCGUUCAAGCAGGAUCGGGGAAUCGAUCUGGAAUGAACGUCAGCCAACCACCCCCACAUGCAGAAGUGGUUGCAACAAAACACAGCCAUAUAUUUGCAUCAGAGAUAUCGAACUGUACAAUCGAUGGCAACCUCAAUAUGUCUGUGAUGCAGGCCCCAGCCCCCCAGGCCCCACAGUGUCCAGGUGAACUACUGCAUUUAGGCAGGUUUUUAUCUUCACAGGUCUCAGUGGUAGCUGUGUUAAAGAACAGGAUCAUCUUGACAAAUAACCUUGACAAAUGA
rnacentral:lncRNA from 1 species